GCCGCAGCCUCCUCAUUAUCGUCAAUUUCCCAAAACAAUCCCUGAAGCUCAUUGAAGACAGCUCUGUAGAGAUUACCCAUCAAGAAUUCAGGCGCAUCCGGGCCAUUGAACCCAUCAUAAAUUCCAACGAACAACCACCCUUGCUCUUCCGAUACAACCACAUGUACCCGAUCCUCUCCAGCCUUCCCAAGUGCCCAUUGAACAUCACUCUCAUUCCUCACCUCCGGCUCAUCUCCCG
rnacentral:misc_RNA from 1 species